ACAGCAGUAGCCACGGUAAUACAGAGGGUGCAAGCGUUAAUCGGAAUUACUGGGCGUAAAGCGCGCGUAGGUGGUUUGUUAAGUUGGAUGUGAAAGCCCCGGGCUCAACCUGGGAACUGCAUCCAAAACUGGCAAGCUAGAGUACGGUAGAGGGUGGUGGAAUUUCCUGUGUAGCGGUGAAAUGCGUAGAUAUAGGAAGGAACACCAGUGGCGAAGGCGACCACCUGGACUGAUACUGACACUGAGGUGCGAAAGCGUGGGGAGCAAACAGGAUUAGAUACCCCAGUAGUCCCUGUCUCUUAUAC
rnacentral:rRNA from 1 species